UGGAGGAAGGUGGGGAUGACGUCAAGUCAUCAUGGCCCUUACGACCAGGGCUACACACGUGCUACAAUGGCGCAUACAAAGAGAAGCGACCUCGCGAGAGCAAGCGGACCUCAUAAAGUGCGUCGUAGUCCGGAUUGGAGUCUGCAACUCGACUCCAUGAAGUCGGAAUCGCUAGUAAUCGUGGAUCAGAAUGCCACGGUGAAUACGUUCCCGGGCCUUGUACACACCGCCCGUCACACCAUGGGAGUGGGUUGCAAAAGAAGUAGGUAGCUUAACCUUCGGGAGGGCGCUUACCACUUUGUGAUUCAUGACUGGGGUGAAGUCGUAACAAGGUAACCGUAGGGGAACCUGC
rnacentral:rRNA from 1 species